GUUAAAUUUCUUUUCUCACACUUGGAGGACAUAUCAGUGUUAUCUACCCUAUGUGAAGGAGAAAAGAUUUAGAUAAUGAAAUAUUCCUUGCUGCAGAUCUGUUCUUAUCACUAUGGCAUUUGAAGAACAUCUCUCUUAAGCAAUAUGACUCAUAUCUCACCUCUGUUUUUACUUUUUUUCCUCAGGCUGUGGUUGCACAAUUAAGGAUCAUUGCUACUGGAUUGGUGCAGUAAUAGAUCAUCCAGUGGGACCAGCUGUGUCUGGAACAGGACUUCUUUGAUCUGUUUGGAUGUUUUUAUUUGCAACCACAAUGAUAUUGGACAAAGCCCAUUCCCAUUCAGGUCAACUGGAAAGCAUGGACUGAAUAACUUGAUAUCCACUGAGUUCAGCAUGAAUUGGAUCAGGCCUAAGUCACAGGCACGCCACUCAGAUCCCACUGCGAUGUGCUCGGGAGACUCCGUCGGUGCAACCCCAUCCAUCAGUGAGCACACGGCAGGCUGGGACGGAUGGUGACAGCACGGUGCCCGCGACCCCCGCUCCGUGCCAUGCCGUGCCGCGCCGCGGGGGCGCCGGACACUGCAAGCGCAGCCGCCGCCCGCCGCGGAUGCAGCAGCGAGCUCCGUGCGGGGAC
rnacentral:lncRNA from 1 species